rnacentral:rRNA from 1 species
GACGAACGCUGGCGGCGUGCUUAACACAUGCAAGUCGAACGGUGAACCUCUUCGGAGGGGAUCAGUGGCGAACGGGUGAGUAACACGUGGGCAACCUGCCCCCGGCUCUGGGAUAACUCCAAGAAAUUGGGGCUAAUACCGGAUGUUCACCGCUUCCCGCAUGGGUGGUGGUGGAAAGGGUUUCCGGCUGGGGAUGGGCCCGCGGCCUAUCAGCUUGUUGGUGGGGUAGUGGCCUACCAAGGCGACGACGGGUAGCCGGCCUGAGAGGGUGACCGGCCACACUGGGACUGAGACACGGCCCAGACUCCUACGGGAGGCAGCAGUGGGGAAUAUUGCGGAAUGGGCGGAAGCCUUACGCAGCGAAGCCGCGUGGGGGAUGACGGCCUUCGGGUUGUAAACCUCUUUCAGCAGGGACGAAGCGCAAGUGACGGUACCUGCAGAAGAAGCACCGGCCAACUACGUG